CUUUGGAGCGGUCUGGCUGUUUUUACUGGAGAAGCAACCCUCCUAUUAUGAGUUGCCACAUCAAAUAUCACACCAAAUACAAAAUAGAUGCACCCACAGCGAAUCACAAACCUAGGUAACCAGAGCCCCUCCCUUCUGUCUCGAUUCGAUUCCAAACUCAUCAUCGUACACCGAUGUGGAUUUUUUUUUCAAGCGUUGUGCAUCAUCAUUGUUUUUCUCCUCUUCCCAUUUGAAUUUCAAAUCGGCCUAUAUCCCGCUAAACCC